rnacentral:tRNA from 1 species
GCAGCGAUGGUGUAAUGGUUAGCGUGUUCACCUUGAAUGCGAUAGUCCGUAGGUUCGAGACCGGGUUCAUUCA